AGCCUGAGAGCCUCCUCUGAUCUCUGUGCUGGCGCUGCUUGUGCCUCGCAGCGGGACCUGGCAGCAGCUCUUGUCCACCUGCAUGCCUGCCCCCAGGGAAGGUAAGGGGGUUGCAUGUUUUCCCUGGUGCAACCAGUGAGGACUUARACAGCCCCACUGUUCUGCAAUGAACUUGACUUUCCUUGGAUUACCAGUUCUGGAAGGGUGUUUUUGCAAACAGUUUCAUCUGGCUGAAYAUCAGUAGGGAGCAGGGUGUGUCUGCAGGCUCACACGGAGAGCGGACGGCGCAUUUCUCUGGGAUCCCAUGGGCUGAGUGGGGCUGGUCGCUGGCACGAGGCACCGUCAUUCCCUAGGUCACGGUCCAGGCGUUUAGCUGCUUAAAAGAUGCUAUUGCAGAGCACAGGAAGACAGCCUCAACUCUUUCACACUUGCAGAUAGAGCCUCCAGCACAGAGGGGAGACCAAGGAAGAGUCAGCGACUUCCUCCUAAGCUGAGGCAAAAUUUCAGAGAUGUUCACUUGCUGCCUCAGCAGAGACCUUGGCCAAUGCUGCUGGAGCAACGGAGUGGUUACUUCCCCUGAGCUGGUGGUUAGUGACUCCGUGCCAGAGGUGUGGUAACUGGACAGUGAGAACUUCCAUUCCCUUGCAGUGCGAGMCGGGGCUUAGAUUUUGCGAGCUCUGCAGCACCUGCAUCUCCAGGGACCAGGAGCAAAUGUUGUCUUGCUGGCACUGCAUGAGCUUUGGCUCCAUUCUUCUGCUCCUCGGAGAAAACCUGGCUUUGAUCRCUGAAAUCCCUCAGGAUUCGGUCAAUGGCACUGUGGGCCAGUCCGUGCUCCUGCCUGUCUCCUACAAACUCAGCAGCUCCYCUCACUUCCCACUGCCAUUUUACUGGACAUUCAGUAACCGCUCUGAGCAAAUUGUCACCUGCACGGUGCUGAACUGCUCCCUGAGUGCUGAGGGGACUCCCAAGCACUGCUCUGCAAAAUAUUUCCCACACGCCGCAUACCAAGGUCGUGUUGUGCUUUUCCCUGAGAACGCAUCCCUGCUGCUCCGGGACCUGCAGCUCAGGGACAGCGGGGUCUACAGCGUCACCUUCAAACAGCAGAUCCAAACCUGGCAGAUCACCUUAACUGUGUACAACCCUCAUUGCAGCCUUAAAAAUCCAGACCAUAAUGACCCAAGAAAGGAAAUUUCAAGCCAUAUCUCUACCUACAUAAUUGGAGUUUCUUCUUGUUUAAUCUCCUUCCUUCUGCUAUUCCUGCUCUUCUGCUGCAUAUGGCACCUGGGUGCAGUUCAACAGAAGAAAACAAGAAUCACUGGACAACAAGAGGUCUCAAAUGCUGAGGAGUCUCCCAUGGAAAGCACCAUGAUGAGGGAUAUAGCAACUGUUUAUGCCAGAGUUGGAGACAACUUUGAACAGCCACAGCUGAGAGCAACACCAGAGGUUGUGUACAUGUCCGCAACCUUCUCUGAUCCACCAGGACCAGAUUGGCCACUGUCGUCUUGUGCAGCAACUGCGGAGCUGCCUGAAGUGGGAGCCUUGAACUUCGCUAAAGAUAGUCCUGUUUCAAAGUGGAGAAGAUGUUUUUGUCACUGACUGUCUCUGCUGAUGUGACCCUCAGUGCUCUUACUCCAGCAGCUCUUAGUCUGCACAGUGAGUGCAGGUUGUAAAGGAUUUGGAGCUACCAAGUAUGGAAAUGCCUUAGUUUGCCUCGAUCUGCAGUCUCUCUUAAAUUUGAGGAAGGAGCUGGUUUUAGUUUCUUCUUGAUACUUCCUGAGAGUACAAAGACACACAGCGUAAGAGAAAGAUUCAUAAGACAAAGGCAGAUCAUCAGUUUGGUCCAUGGGAAGCUUACUUCCAUAGACUCACCUUAACUGGAGGGGUAACAGGGAACAUUAAAUGGAUCUUAAUCAUGUGUCUCAGGUUCAUUGCCAAUGGUCUUGUCAUAUUAAAAGAAUAUAUGAAGAUUAUUUGGACUGAGGUGUCAUCCUUAUUUUUAGG
rnacentral:lncRNA from 1 species